GACGAACGCUGGCGGCGUGCCUAACACAUGCAAGUCGAGCGGGGACGAAGGAGUAGCAAUACGAAUUGUUCUAGCGGCGGACGGGUGAGUAACGCGUGAGCAACCUGUCCCAAACAGGGGGAUAACGAACCGAAAGGUUCACUAAUACCGCAUAAGACCACGGAGUCACAUGGCUCAGGGGUCAAAGGAGUAAUCCGGUUUGGGGUGGGCUCGCGUCUGAUUAGCUAGUUGGUGAGGUAACGGCUCACCAAGGCGACGAUCAGUAGCCGACCUGAGAGGGUGAUCGGCCACAUUGGAACUGAGACACGGUCCAAACUCCUACGGGAGGCAGCAGUGGGGAAUAUUGGGCAAUGGGCGAAAGCCUGACCCAGCAACGCCGCGUGAAGGAAGAAGGUCUUCGGAUCGUAAACUUCUAUCCUUGGUGAAGAUAAUGACGGUAGCCGAGAAGGAAGCCCCGGCUAACUACGUG
rnacentral:rRNA from 1 species